CAAUAGCGUAUAUUUAAGUUGUUGCAGUUGAAAGGCUCGUAGUCGGAAUUUAGCGCUUUCUCGAUGGUCCGCCUCUGGUGUGCACUGUCGACGAUUGUGCUUUCUGUCGGGGACGUGUUCCUGGGCUUAACUGUCUGGGACCCGGGCUCGGCGUGGUUACUUUGAGUAAAUUAGAGUGUUCAAAGCAGGCGAUCGCCCUGAAUACAUUAGCAUGGAAUAGCAUGAUAGGACUCUGGCCUAUCUUGCUGGUCUGUAGGACCGGAGUAAUGAUUAAGAGGGACAGUCGGGGGCAUUCGUAUUUCGUUGUCAGAGGUGAAAUUCUUGGAUUUACGAAAGGCGAACAUCUGCGAAAGCAUUUGCCAAGGAUGUUUUCAUUG
rnacentral:rRNA from 1 species